AGGGUAAUAGCUCAGUGGUAGAAUGUGUGCUUAGCCUGCACGAGGUCCUGGGUUCAAUCCCCAGUACCUCCA
rfam:Camelus ferus unplaced genomic scaffold scaffold1089, whole genome shotgun sequence.